rnacentral:rRNA from 1 species
UACGUAGGGUGCGAGCGUUGUCCGGAAUUAUUGGGCGUAAAGGGCUCGUAGGCGGUCCAUCGCGUCGGGAGUGAAAAGCUGGGGCUUAACCCCAGUCCUGCUUUCGAUACGGGUGGACUAGAGGUAGGCAGGGGAGAAUGGAAUUCCUGGUGUAGCGGUGAAAUGCGCAGAUAUCAGGAGGAACACCUAUGGCGAAAGCAGGUCUCUGGGCCGUCACUGACGCUGAGCUGCGAAAGCUAGGGGAGCAAACAGG